GGGAGGAGGAGCUUCCGGUCCCGCCCCCUCACGCGUGCCCGCCCGCUUGAAGCCCUCGGAGUCUGGAGUGGCAGUGAGGGGUUUUGGUUUUUUUGGGAGCUUCGUUGCAUGGGAGAAGUUUUUCUCAAAUGUUUACAUUACCAGUGAAUACUGGAGAGGAGAAAGUGAAGCGUAGGCACAAUGCAUGCAAGGCGUUUGACUUCAGAGCCCUUUGAAGAUGUUCCAGGGUGUACUUACAUUUUAAACAAGAAUGCUGACAGAAGAUGAAGCAAGGAACAAUAGCUUCAUAUUCAAUUCAGGAAGAGUGAGUUGUUUUGUUUUUUUCCUGUUCAUCCUUCUGGUAUGUCAAAAAGGCCUGCUUCACAAAUACAUGGGACUAGACAGAGAGUAAGUGCAAUUUAUAAUUUCUAUUGUUCUACUGUCCUUGCUAAUUCUAGAUCUCUGUCUUUUCUCUUUGUAAGCAGAUCCUGGAAACUUAAUCCAAAGUAUCACAAAAUACUGAGUUGUACUGAAACAGCAGUUUACUGCUUGGGACAAAAUAUUAGUCAAGGAUGAAAUGACAACAGUUAACAGAACUAAGCUUGACCUGCUUUUUAGUUCUCAAAGGUCAUCAAAACUGGGUCAUAACUGGAGUUCAUGUAGAGCUUUCCUGGUUUACAGUGCAUGAAAGCAAAUUCAAAUUCUACUUGGCAGGUGUGCAUAACAUCAAACCUGCAGGCUUUAGAUUAUAGGGGCCAUUUAUAUGAAAUUAUUCUGAAUGAUUAUUGCAGGAAAUAAACUAAAAUUUAUGUGUAUCCUCUAUGUUUACAGAACAUUGCUGCCAAAUUAUAGUAAUUUAUAGCCAUUUUAAAACUGACUUUGAGCCCCACAAAUAUGAUCACAAAGCUUAUGAAAACUAGACAGUUAACACCUUGCUUGCUUGGGGGAAAAAAGUGCUCAUUUCGGCUCUUUUAGUGCAAAAUUUGUAACAUUAUUUUUCUUGGGCAAGUUAUAAAUCUAAGACAUCAUAGCUUUUUUUCACUUCUAUGUGUUGGGGAAUGUGACAUCCUUCUAUAGUGCAGCUUUCUAGCCAUGAAGUUUUUGAAAUUGUGAGAUGAUUAUUAUUUUGGAUCCUUAAUCAGAAAUUAGUGAGACAUUAACAUUCAAAGAAUGACAGUAAUUAUGUACUAACAGGAAAAUGACCAGAAAAGGAAAAUCUGUAGUAAGAAAUAUUGCAUCCCUGAAGAAAACACACACAGGCUUUGAAUGCUUAUAUUUUGCUGAGCUCCAUCAGUUUCCUGCAGUCAUUACAACUAAGAGAUCAGGUAUAAGCUGUUUUCAGGCAUUCACAAGCUUUGCUCUGUCCUUGCUGUUUGCUAAUAUAAUCUGCUGUUCUGAGAAGGGUACACACACAUGGGAGAAAAGAGUACGUCUUGAAUUUGGUAGGGCAGGACAAAGUUUGCCAGCUCAUUUCACAUGGACCCCUUCACAGUAUGAUAGUACUCAGAGGGUAGCAACUUCAUGUCUACUAAUAUGGAUUGAAUUCAAACUAGCAGACCAGAAAUUGAGUGAUUUAUUUUCCUUUACUAAUUCUUUCAACUAACCCAUUCUCUGUUUCCUGACUAGAUUAGAUUUGUCAUGCAAUAUGUCUGUGGCUAAACGAAUAUGUAUGAAGUGUGCACCAUUUGUUUUAGCAACUGAGCGACUGGUUAUGCAAAUUGCAAGCUGGAAACAUUUUCCACUUAGGCAGAUCUGCUUAUGAUGUUGCCUUUUUUUCCCAUUCAAUUCUUGGUAAGCAAUCCUGCUAAUAGGUAUCCACUCGAUUUGUAAGAAGCAAUUUGUUUAUUGUACUUCUGAAUUGAUAAGAAUUGAUAGUUUGUUCAAUAAGUCUUGUGGUCAUCCAGUCUGUAAUUCAGUUACCUAACAAGCACUAGACUAAGUCUCUUCCUUACCUGGCUGUAUAUUUAAUAAUUUUUUUAAUUAUUAGCAUAUUGACUUCCUUAGGCACAGCUUAUUUCCACACACAGUCUGUGAGUAUUUCUGCAAAUAACAGAAGCUCAGUGUUUCCAUGAGUAGUAACCACUCAUCUUCAUGUUCCUGGAAAAAUAGCCAGGGGGGAAUGAAGGAGGCCAGAACAAAUUACAAGCGGGAAUGCAUGAGUGUAUCUGUAGCUAUUAUUUUCCUGUUGUUUUGCUAUUCUUAGAAUUUCAGUUGUAUGCUUUUUAAAACAGAACAGACUUAAUGAGACAGAAGGACAAAGGUAAACACCUAACAGCUUUGGUGACAGAAGCAUGAUCUUCUUUAGUUCAGAGUUCAAAAGUUAUCUGUUGGGCAAAUAUUUGAACUACCAUUUAGUUUGUUUCUGAGGUUAUGAAAGAAGAACUGCUGAAUGCUUUACUUGUAAUGGAUAGGUUUAAAGCUCCCCAGAAAGUCUUGGUAAUCCAGCUAUUCAGUACUAAUUGUGACUAAUUGUGACACAAGUUUUUUACUCUUUCCUAGACAGUAUUUCAAUCUAGGAUGAGAAGAAUUUAUUACAGUGUGUCUCAAGAAAUGGAAUCUAAGUCAUGCUUUCUGAGCAGAAGCUCUGUAGUAUUUCCUUAAUAGCAAUUCACCUCAGGAGACUCCAUUUCGUAGAUUUGAACUUAAGUCUUUUGCAGCAUGCUUUAUUGAUAAUCUGAUAAGUACAAAAUAAUGUUUCUCCUCCACUUUUCUGUGUUCCUUGUGUGGGAGCUCUGCCAGUAAUGCAAAAGAGUAGUAAAGACCCCAGAUGGCUCAACUAAGAAACACCACUCACUAUGUUUUGUCAGUUCUCUUAAUUGUUAUACAUUCACUGUAAAACUCUCUGUCAAAAAAAGAAAAGAUUUUGAAUUACCACCAAUCACAGCUGAUCCAUUGAUUAAAGAUGCUAAGAUUUUUUAUGCCAUGAUAUUAAAUUUGAAAUGAAGAAUGUGGUACUUCUAAGCAGGAGGAGUGCUAGAUACGCACUCAAAAUUUGCAAAAUACGCUCAAUACUGAACUCUGGUUGGGAGUGUGAGAGGGAUAUGUGCCUAAUUCUGACAUUUAAUCUCACUUUCCUUUGAGUUUUCUGUUCUUUCUUCUCUAUGCUCUCUGAUAAGACAGAAGGACUAGAUUUUUCAUAACCAGAGGUGAGCUACAAGGGACAGGCUCUGCAGUUUUUUUUCUGUGUGAAGCAGGGUUUUGGAUAGCUGGCUGUUGAUUAAUACUGCCUAAAAUAAUGAUCUACUUCUUUAGUUCUUCAGAUCUGUCUUCAUUUCUGUCCUGUAAAUCUCCAGAUCUCAUGGAAAUAUAUCUGAGCGCAAUUCUUUUUUCUUGGACUGUUCUGGCACAGAUAUUAUGCUGUCAAACAGCUGGUUUGAUUUGUAUGGGGAAAGAGCAGCUCUAAAUUUACUGUGUGGGCUUUUUUUUUAACGGACUCGCCAGCCUACUCUUGUGCAACUAAGGCUUUUGAUUCAUUCUGCCACUCAGUGGAACUGCCUCAUCGUCACCAGUGUUUGACAUUUUACAGUUCAGUUGAAUUUCCCAAAAGGGGAGGGGAGAGGAAGGCCACUAAAAUGGAUUUUCCUGCUAAAUUUAAGCACCACGUUGGUUGGAACAAGUCAUUGCCAAGAUCCAGCAGCUGCUACUACUUGCAUUGCUAAGGAGAGCAAGCAGUGGAGACCACUGAUACUGUUCAGGUGAAGAAAGAGAGGUGCAGCCACGCAUUGCCCAUGCUGUUUUUGUGGAAGCCAAUCAAGUGUUACUGGUAACUGAAUGGCAUUAAUUUCAGUGCCUGCUACAUUGGAGGGACAUCAGGCAUGACAAGAGCAGCCACCGAAGAUAAGAUCCUCACAGAGAAGUUGUCUCUUGGCCAGAUGUGCUGAUGUGCUGCACUCCAAUGAGAUCUUUCUAAACACCUCUCCAGGCAUGUUUUUGUUUUUUCACUCCACAAGUGCCUCUGACUAGACCUCCUACAAAGCAGGAACGUUCUCUAGCACAGGUCCAAAACAAAAGGGAGGAAAAACUGUGGCCCUUGCCUCUAAGAAUUUUUUUGUUCAAAUAUUUUCUCAUUUUUAAAAUUGGCUUUCUUAUCCAUUAUAUCUCAUUAUCCACUAUAUCUGACUUUACAUCUUUAAUACUUCCACAGCUGUAACUGAGAAGCACAUAUGUUAUAGUGUGCUUGCAGUACAUUCAAAUAGUACUCUUAAGCAGUUAAAAUAAAUGCUGGCUAACUGCAGUACCAGUUCUUACAGCACCUUCACAUCAUUCAAACACAUUUUCAAUCAUGUUAUAUUUGUUGUCUUUUUAGUCUUUUAUCAUCCAUAUAAAAACGGUGAAUGGGUUGCAUUGUGACUGUUGAAGUCUCAUGAGGGCUUUUCAAAACUGCUUUAUUAACAGAGAGGUUUUCAUCUUUGGGUUCCACGUGCAAGGAGGUAAGGAAUUCUUAAAGCCCUUCUCCAACUGCAUUGCAACUGUUUGCAUCACCACUGGUUACCUACUGCCUGGAAUAACAUUCCUUCCUUGACCUGGACUUGGAGCUUUAGUUGUAUUUGUCAUACUUGCAAUUAUUUCUAAGUACUUUUAUGCUGUGUUUAAAUAGGUAUGGAGAUUUUACAUUUCUGGUGAAAGGCAUUUUCUGUGUUUGACUCCACAUCUGUUAUAGGAGUUACCUGAGCAAAGGACAAAACUAUUGAUUUGAUAAUUACUUCUUCCAUCAAAAACAAUUACCCUUCAGCAUCGAGUCUUAAGUUUUUUUCUGCUUAUAGACAACAGCCAAGAAGUUUUCUUAAAUGUUUCUUUUUUUCUUUUUUU